UUAGUCUUGUAUUAUUUUAAUUUUAGUUUCUUGUGUACAAUUUGGAAAUUAGUAUGGCGUUCAUUAUCACUGAACUAGUAUAUAUUUGUUUAGGGGCCAGGUUGCGGGAAUUUCUUGCUACAUUGAAGACCUGUUGGUGACCUUCUGUUGUUGUUUUUUUCUAUGGUCGGGUUGUUGUCUCUUUGACACAUUCCCCAUUUCCAUUCUCAAUUUUAUUGACCCUUAUUU
rnacentral:lncRNA from 1 species